CCUACGGUGUGCAGCAGUGGGGAAUAUUGCACAAUGGUGGAAACCCUGAUGCAGCGACGCCGCGUGAGUGAAGAAGUCUUUCGGUACGUAAAGCUCUAUCAGCAGGGAAGAAAAUGACGGUACCUGACUAAGACUCCCCGGCUAACUCCGGGCCAGCAGCCGCGGUAAUACGUAGGGGGCAAGCGUUCUCCGGAUUUACUGGGUGUAAAGUGAGCGUAGACGGCCGCGCAAGUCUGGCGUGAAAUCCCAUGGCUUAACCAUGGAACUGCUUUGGAAACUGUGCAGCUAGAGUGCAGGAGAGGUAAGCGGAAUUCCUAGUGUAGCGGUGAAAUGCGUAGAUAUUAGGAGGAACACCAGUGGCGAAGGCGGCUUACUGGACUGUAACUGACGUUGAGGCGCGAAAGCGUGGGGAGCAAACAGGAUUAGAUACCCUUGUAGUC
rnacentral:rRNA from 1 species